rnacentral:rRNA from 1 species
GGCGGACGGGUGAGGAAUACAUCGGAAUCUACUCUGUCGUGGGGGAUAACGUAGGGAAACUUACGCUAAUACCGCAUACGACCUACGGGUGAAAGCAGGGGAUCUUCGGACCUUGCGCGAUUGAAUGAGCCGAUGUCGGAUUAGCUAGUUGGCGGGGUAAAGGCCCACCAAGGCGACGAUCCGUAGCUGGUCUGAGAGGAUGAUCAGCCACACUGGAACUGAGACACGGUCCAGACUCCUACGGGAGGCAGCAGC